rnacentral:rRNA from 1 species
GUGGGGAAUAUUGGGCAAUGGGCGAAAGCCUGACCCAGCAACGCCGCGUGAAGGAAGAAGGUCUUCGGAUCGUAAACUUCUAUCCUUGGUGAAGAUAAUGACGGUAGCCGAGAAGGAAGCCCCGGCUAACUACGUGCCAGCAGCCGCGGUAAUACGUAGGGGGCAAGCGUUGUCCGGAAUGAUUGGGCGUAAAGGGCGCGUAGGCGGCCUGGUAAGUCUGGAGUGAAAGUCCUGCUUUUAAGGUGGGAAUUGCUUUGGAUACUGUCGGGCUUGAGUGCAGGGGAGGUAAGUGGAAUUCCCGGUGUAGCGGUGAAAUGCGUAGAGAUCGGGAGGAACACCAGUGGCGAAGGCGACUUACUGGACUGUAACUGACGCUGAGGCGCGAAAGUGUGGGGAGCAAACAGGAUUAGAUACCCGUGUAGUCC